AUUCCUUCCCGAUGGAGUGUUUGCCACCGUGAGAAAACUGGAAUGGCUGUUUUUGGACUCGAACGCUUUAACGUUUCUUCCUGAAGCAGUAUUCUCUUCUCUGAACAAUCUGCGAUCGCUGCAUUUAUAUGAAAACGCUAUAAAAUAUCUACCUGGCAAAGUGUUUGCCUCACAAAAAAUGCUACUAUAUCUGUAAGUGCAUGUACAUCAAGAUAUCGCUUACAACGCCCCCGUUCCCCCGUAUUUCUUCUUUGCUUUCCAGGCCUUUCCUUUUGCGUUCCCCAAUGAGUUUCCUUGUACAUUCCCUUGUACGAUGUUAGUGCGAUCUCUGUUGCAUUCCCUAGUGUAUUUCCUACACUCGUUUCUCAUUGUGCAUUCUGUUUUGAGACGGCAUUUGCCAGUAUUGGCAAACUAGCUGACCGUUGAACACAUUUCAUUUACUGACCGUCAUUAUCGUUAUUCAAUGUAUUCAAUACG